rnacentral:rRNA from 1 species
GACGAACGCUGGCGGCGUGCUUAACACAUGCAAGUCGAGCGGUAAGGCCCUUUCGGGGGUACACGAGCGGCGAACGGGUGAGUAACACGUGGGUGACCUGCCCUCAGCUCUGGGAUAAGCCUGGGAAACCGGGUCUAAUAUUGGAUAUGACUCCAUGACGCAUGCUGUGGGGUGGAAAGCCUUGUGCGGCUGAGGAUGGGCCCGCGGCCUAUCAGCUUGUUGGUGGGGUGAUGGCCUACCAAGGCGACGACGGGUAGCCGGCCUGAGAGGGCGACCGGCCACACUGGGACUGAGACACGGCCCAGACUCCUACGGGAGGCAGCAGUGGGGAAUCUUGCGCAAUAGGCGAAAGCCUGACGCAGCGACGCCGCGUGAGGGUGACGGCCU